UCCAACAGUUCGCUAUCAGAUAAUAAGGUGAAGCUGUGUGAGCCUUUGUGACUUAUUCGUAUAAAAGCGGGUGGUACCCAACGGUCACUUGUGCAGUCGUUGGGUAACGUCAACUUACUGUUGUCCUGACAGGAAGUGGACUUUCAGAGGCGAAAGACUGAUUGCACGCUUUUCAUCAGCUCAUGCUAUGAAUAGAGGCGAGCCCAUGGAGGAAAUGUCUCAAGAAGACAACCAUGACUGUGUGUCCUCGAGCAAUCCUG